GGUUAAUGUUGUGAAGCCGCCAUUAUGGAGGGCUCCGUUUGAUGUGACACACUGUGCCGCUCACACACGGUAUACUGACAGCACGCGCUCUAUUUAUAUCCAGUGAAGCCCUGCUCCGGGCCCCAGCACUCAGGGCCGGCCGAUGGACCCGGUAAAGUAGUGCUGGGAGGGAGGGGCCGGCACUACUUCCCAGCUCCCUCCGCGCGGGAGGGAAGAGAGCCACAGCCAGGCUGACUCCCAUCAGCCACAGCCAUCCUGUAUGUAUGUCUGUCAGUAUGUGUGUGUGUCUGUCAGUAUGUGUGUGUGUCUGUCAGUAUGUGUGUGUAUGUCAGUAUGUGUGUGUGUCUGUCAGUAUGUGUGUGUGUCUGUCAGUAUGUGUGUGUAUGUCUGUCAGUAUGUGUGUGUGUCUGUCAGUAUGUGUGUGUGUCUGUCAGUAUGUGUGUGUGUCUGUCUGUCAGUAUGUGUGUGUAUAUCUGUCAGUAUGUGUGUGUAUGUCUGUCAGUAUGUGUGUGUGUGUGUGUGUCUGUCAGUAUGUGUGUAUGUCUGUCAGUAUGUGUGUGUGUCUGUCAGUAUGUGUGUGUAUGACUGUCAGUAUGUGUG